AUUGAACGCUGGCGGAAUGCUUUACACAUGCAAGUCGAACGGCAGCACGGGGGCAGCCCUGGUGGCGAGUGGCGAACGGGUGAGUAAUACAUCGGAACGUGCCCGGUCGUGGGGGAUAACGUAGCGAAAGUUACGCUAAUACCGCAUACGAUCUGAGGAUGAAAGCGGGGGACCUUCGGGCCUCGCGCGAUCGGAGCGGCCGAUGUCAGAUUAGGUAGUUGGUGGGGUAAAGGCCUAUCAAGCCGACGAUCUGUAGCUGGUCUGAGAGGACGACCAGCCACACUGGGACUGAGACACGGCCCAGACUCCUACGGGAGGCAGCAGUGGGGAAUUUUGGACAAUGGGCGCAAGCCUGAUCCAGCCAUUCCGCGUGCAGGACGAAGGCCUUCGGGUUGUAAACUGCUUUUGUACGGAACGAAAAGGCUCUGGCUAAUACCUGGGGCUCAUGACGGUACCGUAAGAAUAAGCACCGGCUAACUACGUG
rnacentral:rRNA from 1 species